AAAGUCGUAACAAGGUCUCCGUUGGUGAACCAGCGGAGGGAUCAUUACAGAGUUGCAAAACUCCCUAAACCAUUGUGAACGUUACCUAAACCGUUGCUUCGGCGGGCGGCCACGGGCUCACCCCCGCGGCCCCCGGCCCCCUCAAGGGCGCCCGCCGGAGGCUCUAACUCUUGAAUUUAUGGCCUCUCUGAGUCUUCUGUACUGAAUAAGUCAAAACUUUCAACAACGGAUCUCUUGGUUCUG
rnacentral:misc_RNA from 1 species